rnacentral:lncRNA from 1 species
CAGAUAAACAGCAAACAUAGUAGUCAAUCCAAAUAUAUCAAAAAUAAAGAAAGCUCGUAUUGGGUAGAAUAUCGAAAUAUUUUAAAAACUUCUCCUAUAUAUUGUCAACAUGUCCGACAUCCAAGCCCCUCGUUGGUACAACAGAUGGUACAAUGCAAUCAUGGACAUACCAGAAUAUAUAAUAUCAGUGCUAAUUAAAUACAAGAUUUCAAAAUUAAAGCUGACCAGUCGCCAGGGGAAUCAGCAUCAAGAGCGUUAUAUCCCGAAUGCACCAUUGGAGAAUGAGCUACUUGAUUCAAUGAUGGAUUAAUUCAACCUUAAGAAACGGAUGAUCACAGAGCCAGACCCAAAAAUGUAGUAAAUGUAUUUACUCGUAAUAAAAUGUUAAAAUCUUACUAGCCUAUAAUUUAUUACCAAAGCAUUUCUUUC